rnacentral:rRNA from 1 species
GACGAACGCUGGCGGCGUGCUUAACACAUGCAAGUCGAACGGAAAGGCCCUGCUUUUGUGGGGUGCUCGAGUGGCGAACGGGUGAGUAACACGUGAGUAACCUGCCCUUGACUUUGGGAUAACUUCAGGAAACUGGGGCUAAUACCGGAUAGGAGCUCCUGCUGCAUGGUGGGGGUUGGAAAGUUUCGGCGGUUGGGGAUGGACUCGCGGCUUAUCAGCUUGUUGGUGGGGUAGUGGCUUACCAAGGCUUUGACGGGUAGCCGGCCUGAGAGGGUGACCGGCCACAUGGGACCUAGGAAAGGGCCCAGACUCCUACGGGAGGCAGCGGUGGGAAUAUUGCACAAUGGGCGGAAGCCUGAUGCAGCAACGCCGCGUGCGGGAUGACGGCCUUCGGGUUGUAAACCGCUUUCGCCUGUGACGAAGCGUGAGUGACGGUAAUGGGUAAAGAAGCACCGGCUAACUACGUG